GGGAGGAAGCCAGACACCUGCAACUCUUACGCCGAGCUGUUCGUCAGGAGGUUGCGGAGCUGGAAUUUCAGCUGAGGGAUCAAGCUUGCCAGGUCAGGGAGAGCAUCCUUAUGCAGCUGGACCAAUUACUAGCAGAACAAUCCCAUCUGUUUUCCGAGCUCGGACUCUCUGAUUGGAAGGGAGAAAGAAAAGCCCAGAAUAAACAAACGUUUCCAGAUGCUGCUGACACUGAGCAUCCUCGAAGUGGGUGCUCAGAAAUGGUGCUCCCAAGAGCUCCUAGCAAAACCACAACAGCAACAGGCUCACUCUCUGCCCCACAGCUGGAGGCACCCUCAAUGGAGUUUCCCACCAGGACAAUGACUGAGUCAAAUUCAGUUAAGUCUGCCCCACAGGAGCUCUCUACCAGUGCAAAGGAAAUAAAAGGAACUCCCCAAGCAAAAAGGGCCUUUAAGGCAUUUAUACACAAUGUAAGGAGGUGUUUCAGGCUCACCCUCAAGGUUUUAAGUGGAAGGGAUUGCUGACCUGCUAUGCAGUUUUACUAUUCUGUGUCUCAUUGCCACAGCCUAGAUCAGGACCCUUUCCUGCUGUGCUGUGCAUUCAUCUGAAGGGAUGGAGCCUGUGUUUCAGGGCACUUUCAGUUUGCAUAGGCAACACAGGCAGAACUGGAACUGAACCUGCCUUGAUAUUUCUCAGUAAGCUCUGGCAAUGAUCUGGAUUCUUCAGAGAGAAGAACAUACAUAUAGGUGGAUGGUAUUUGGCUUGCUUGGAUUUUGAAUGCAACUGUUUGACUAACUAGUACAUCCAACCCUCUCCUACCAUGUGAAAUCAGUAAUUUAUGGCUUCAGAUUGCAGAGACAAUUACCCAGCUUUACAAGGGCAGUAAAGGCAGUGAACUGGAAGGUUUGUUGUUUUUCUAGAGAGAUUCAAAGUCAGCAUUUCUGACUGCUCUGCUCUCACUGUGUAACCACAAAAAAUUGUUUGCCUGCCUUUUGUAAUAUAAAAGAAUCUCUCAAAAAUCUCUUAGAUAGCUGCCUUAUCACUUAAUGGUCUCUUCCACCUAAAUAUUCCUUAGAGGAUUUUUGAAGGAUUAAUCGAUUCUCUUAAAUUAAAAAUAAGGGUUAAAUUCUGCAGAAACUUCAUGUAAGCAUCAUGGGAGAGGAUGCUCUUUAUUAUAGUCUUAUAAUACUUUAUUGAUCUAUAUUAAUAUUACCACUGAUAUUAUCAAGCAGGAUCAAGUUCUUUAGCACACAAUUCAAAGAGUGAGAGCCCUAGACAGUGAGGAACAAAGAAUUGAAAUGUUUGAGAUCAUCUUUUGUCAUCUUUUGCACCCAUUUCCAUUUCAGACUAGCCUUACUAACAUUUCUUUCCUUUUUUUUUUCCAGGUGAAGAAAUCUUCUCAAAAUUCUUUAGGUAAUGAUUCAGCAGAAGGAAAAGACUGAUGGAGGACAGACUUUUGGGUUUUGUUUCUAGUAAAUGUGAUGGUUUUCCUGAAAUGCAUGGUGUAUUUCAGAAACAAAGGAACCAAACAUUGCAUUAUAGAAUGUUCUGAUCACAGCAGGUUCAUUUGCAAUGUGAUGACUGGCCAAGAAAAGCAGGUAUUUUUAAAGGAAUUUUGAAAGAGAGGCACUAUGUAUUUUGCUAUUCUGUGACUGCGAAACCUACUAUGUGCCCAAUUGCAAUCACAUGGGAUAGGGCUGCUCUCUGAAAAGUCAUUUAGGAGGAAGAGAAGAAGGUUUGUUUUUAAGGAUAAACUUCAGAGCUUGCAGACAGCUCAGGAGAUACCACUAGAAACAUGUUCUCCAUAUAGCCAGUCAUUUUAACGCUGUACUUCAACCAAUAUUAAUCCUCAAGCCCACACUACCUUGUAUAGUCCUAGUCAUGUUCUAACUUUUAACUUGUUGGUAAUUUCCUCUCACCAAUUUUGUGAAGUUUUUACCUACUGUCAGGAUCAAAUCAGAAGCUCACUGACAAAACACAUGUUAAAAACCUGCUCUGUCAAAAUAUUGCUGUGGAUAGUCUCCCGGCUGUCUUCCUCAUAUUUGCCUUGUAUAAAUCCAAUUGAAACCAAAAUGAGAUGAGAGACACAGGAUUUUCUAUGUUAGAAGCCUUGAAUCAGAAUCCUGGUUCCAUUCACUGGGAGUGCACAGAGCCUGGAUUCACACAGAAAAAGCCAUAAUAAAAGACUUCUCAGGUUUGGAUCA
rnacentral:lncRNA from 14 species